AGCAGCCGCGGUAAUUCCAGCUCCAAUAGCGUAUAUUAAAGUUGUUGCAGUUAAAAAGCUCGUAGUUGAAUUUCGAGACCGGUUUAUUGGUCGUGCUUUUGUACGUACUGGUAUUAUUGGUUUCUCCUUUCUGACGAAUCAUAAUGCCAUUAAUUUGGUGUUUUGGGGAAUCAGGACUGUUACUUUGAAAAAUUAGAGUGUUUAAAGCAGGCUCACGCUUGAAUACAUUAGCAUGGAAUAACGAAAUAGGACGUUUGAUUUUAUUUUGUUGGUUUCUAGGAUCGACGUAAUGAUUAAUAGGGAUAGUUGGGGGCAUUAGUAUUCAAUUGUCAGAGGUGAAAUUCUUGGAUUUAUUGAAGACUAACUACUGCGAAAGCAUUUGCCAAGGAUGUUUUCAUUAAUCAAGAACGAAAGUUAGGGGAUCGAAGACGAUCAGAUACCGUCGUAGUCUUAACCAUAAACUAUGCCGACUAGGGAUCGGAUGAUGUUAAUUUUUAAUGUACUCAU
rnacentral:rRNA from 1 species